AAGUCGUAACAAGGUUUCCGUAGGUGAACCUGCGGAAGGAUCAUUAACAAAUCAAAUGAAGAGGGAUGGGUUUUAAGAGUUAUUGUUGGUUGAAGGUUAGGGAUGAUAGAGAGUUAUUAGUAUAUUAAUACUUGAUUCAUUCAUAAUGGAUGCCAUCAUGUUACACGGGACCCAUUCAUCAUCAUAAAAUAUGAGCAAUAAUUUUGAUGAGAAGAAAUUCAAUUAAAAUUAUCAAGAAGAGCAAAGUAUUUCAUGAAAUAUUGAAAGUUUCUCUUCAAAUUCUCACAUUGAUGCCAUUAGUAUUUUUUGUUUGUUGGGUUGUCAGAUUGAAAGUAUAUGACGUAAAUCAAUUACAACUUUUAACAAUGGAUCUCUUGGCUCUU
rnacentral:misc_RNA from 1 species